CCUACGGGGGGCAGCAGUGGGGAAUAUUGCACAAUGGGGGAAACCCUGAUGCAGCAACGCCGCGUGAAUGAUGAAGGCCUUCGGGUCGUAAAGUUCUUUGAUUGGGGACGAUAAUGACGGUACCCAAAAAACAAGCCACGGCUAACUACGUGCCAGCAGCCGCGGUAAUACGUAGGUGGCGAGCGUUGUCCGGAUUUACUGGGCGUAAAGGAUGCGUAGGUGGAAACUUAAGUGGGAUGUGAAAUCCCCGGGCUCAACCCGGGAACUGCAUUCCAAACUGGGUUACUUGAGUGCAGGAGAGGAAAGCGGAAUUCCUAGUGUAGCGGUGAAAUGCGUAGAUAUUAGGAAGAACACCAGUGGCGAAGGCGGCUUUCUGGACUGUAACUGACACUGAGGCAUGAAAGCGUGGGGAGCAAACAGGAUUAGAUACCCUUGUAGUC
rnacentral:rRNA from 1 species